rnacentral:rRNA from 1 species
AUUGAACGCUGGCGGCAUGCCUUACACAUGCAAGUCGAACGGUCACGCGUAUUCAUGUGCAGACGAGUCGCGAACGGGUGAGUAAUGUAUAGGACUGUAUCAUUCAGUGGGGGAUAACGUAGCACAAUGUACGCUAAUCCUGCAUAUUCUGUCAGCAGCAAAACCAGCGAUCGCAAUAGCUUGAGCUGAUAGCGUCCCCGAUAUCGUAGUAGCUAGUUGGUGAGGUAAAGGCUCAACAAAGCGACGAUCUGUAGCGGGUCUGAGAGGCUGAUCAGCCACACUGGAACUGAGACACGGUCCAGACUACUACGGGAGGCAGCAGUGGGGAAUUUUGGACAAUGGGGGCAACCCUGAUCCAGCCAUGCCGCGUGAGUGAAGAAGGCCUUCGGGUUGUAAAGCUCUUUCGGCCGGGAAGAAAUCGUAUCAGCUAAUACCUGGAGCGGAUGACGGUACCGGCAUAAGAAGCACCGGCUAACUACGUGCCAGCAGCCGCAGUAAGAC